GAUGAACGCUGGCGGCGUGCUUAACACAUGCAAGUCGAACGAAGCACUUUAUUUGAUUUCCUUCGGGACUGAUUAUUUUGUGACUGAGUGGCGGACGGGUGAGUAACGCGUGGGUAACAUGCCUUGUACAGGGGGAUAACAGUUGGAAACGGCUGCUAAUACCGCAUAAGCGCACGGCAUCGCAUGAUGCAGUGUGAAAAACUCCGGUGGUAUAAGAUGGACCCGCGUUGGAUUAGCUAGUUGGUGAGGUAACGGCCCACCAAGGCGACGAUCCAUAGCCGACCUGAGAGGGUGACCGGCCACAUUGGGACUGAGACACGGCCCAAACUCCUACGGGAAGCAGCAGUGGGGAAUAUUGCACAAUGGGCGAAAGCCUGAUGCAGCGACGCCGCGUGAGCGAAGAAGUAUUUCGGUAUGUAAAGCUCUAUCAGCAGGGAAGAUAAUGACGGUACCUGACUAAGAAGCACCGGCUAAAUACGUG
rnacentral:rRNA from 1 species